rnacentral:rRNA from 1 species
GAUGAAUGCUGGCGGCGUGCCUAACACAUGCAAGUCGAACGGUAGCAGGUCUAGUUUACUAGAUGCUGACGAGUGGCGGACGGCUGAGUAACGCGUGGGAACGUGCCCUAAAGUGAGGGAUAACGCACCGAAAGGUGUGCUAAUACCGCAUAUGAUCUUCGGAUUAAAGAAUUUAUUCGCUUUAGGAGCGGCCCGCGUCGGAUUAGGUUGUUGGUGAGGUAAUGGCUCACCAAGCCGACGAUCCGUAGCUGGUCUGAGAGGAUGACCAGCCAGACUGGAACUGAGACACGGUCCAGACUCCUACGGGAGGCAGCAGUGAGGAAUCUUCCACAAUGGGCGAAAGCCUGAUGGAGCAACGCCGCGUGCAGGAUGAAGGCCCUCGGGUCGUAAACUGCUUUUAUUAGUGAAGAAUAUGACGGUAACUAAUGAAUAAGGAUCGGCUAACUACGUGCCAGCAGCCGCGGUAAAACGUAGACGUG